UACGUAGGGUGCGAGCGUUGUCCGGAAUUACUGGGCGUAAAGGGCUCGUAGGCGGCCAACUAAGUCGGAUGUGAAAUCCCCAGGCUCAACUUGGGAACUGCAUCCGAUACUGGAUGGCUUGAAUUCGGGAGAGGGAUGCAGAAUUCCAGGUGUAGCGGUGAAAUGCGUAGAUAUCUGGAGGAAUACCGGUGGCGAAGGCGGCAUCCUGGACCGACAUUGACGCUGAGGAGCGAAAGCUAGGGGAGCAAACGGG
rnacentral:rRNA from 1 species